AGAGUUUGAUCAUGGCUCAGGAUGAACGCUAGCGGCAGGCUUAAUACAUGCAAGUCGAGGGGCAGCACAGGUAGCAAUACUGGGUGGCGACCGGCAAACGGGUGCGGAACACGUACGCAACCUUCCCAAAACAGGUGAAUAGCCCUCCGAAAGGAGGAUUAAUACACCGUAACAUAAUUGAGUGGCAUCACUUGAUUAUUAUAGAUAGCAAUAUCGGUUUUGGAUGGGCGUGCGCCUGAUUAGGUAGUUGGUAGGGUAAUGGCCUACCAAGCCUUCGAUCAGUAACUGGUGUGAGAGCACGACCAGUCACACGGGCACUGAGACACGGGCCCGACUCCUACGGGAGGCAGCAGUAAGGAAUAUUGGUCAAUGGACGCAAGUCUGAACCAGCCAUGCCGCGUGAAGGAUGAAGGCCCUCUGGGUUGUAAACUUCUUUUAUCUGGGACGAAAAAAGGGGAUUCUUCCUCACUUGACGGUACCAGAGGAAUAAGCACCGGCUAACUCCGUGCCAGCAGCCGCGGUAAUACGGAGGGUGCAAGCGUUAUCCGGAUUUACUGGGUUUAAAGGGUGCGUAGGUGGGUAGGAAAGUCAGUGGUGAAAUCUUCGGGCUUAACCCGGAAACUGCCAUUGAUACUAUUUAUCUUGAAUACUUUGGAGGUAAGCGGAAUAUGUCAUGUAGCGGUGAAAUGCUUAGAUAUGACAUAGAACACCAAUUGCGAAGGCAGCUUACUACACAGUUAUUGACACUGAGGCACGAAAGCGUGGGGAUCAAACAGGAUUAGAUACCCUAGUAGUCC
rnacentral:rRNA from 1 species